rnacentral:antisense_RNA from 1 species
CUUCACCGAGCCCAGCCAGAGCGAGGACCCGUCCCGCCGGUCCUGCCCGUACGUCGCCAGGAUCGCGUCGGCCUC